rnacentral:rRNA from 1 species
AGUGAGCGCUGGCGGCGUGCUUAACACAUGCAAGUCGAACGAGAACGGGUUAUAGCUUGCUAUAAUUGUCAGCUAAGUGGCGCACGGGUGAGUAAUGUAUAGGUAAUAUGCCUCUUACUAAGGGAUAACAAAUGGAAACGUUUGCUAAUACCUUAUACUCCUUAUUAACAUAAGUUAAUAAGGGAAAGAUUUAUUGGUAAGAGAUUAGCCUGUAUUGUAUCAGUUAGUUGGUGGGGUAAUGGCUUACCAAGACUAUGACACAUAACUGGUUUGAGAGGAUGAUCAGUCACACUGGAACUGAGACACGGUCCAGACUCCUACGGGAGGCAGCAGUGGGGAAUAUUGCACAAUGGACGAAAGUCUGAUGCAGCAACGCCGCGUGGAGGAUGACACAUUUCGGUGCGUAAACUCCUUUUAUAUGAGAAGAUAGUGACGGUAUUAUAUGAAUAAGCACCGGCUAACUCCGUGCCAGCAGCCGCGGUAA